ensembl:lncRNA
AACAACAGAACGGUGUGGAGGUAACCCCAACAACAGAACGGUGUGGAGGUAACCCCAACAACAGAACGGUGUGGAGGUAACCCCAACAACAGAACGGUGUGGAGGUAACCCCAACAACAGAACGGUGUGGAGGUAACCCUAACAACAGAACGGUGAGUUAACAGAACGGUGUGGAGGUAAACCUAACAACAGAACGGUGUGGAGGUAACCCCAACAACAGAACGGUGUGGAGGUAACCCUAACAACAGAACGGUGUGGAGGUAACCCUAACAACAGAACGGUGAGUUAACAGAACGGUGUGGAGGUAACCCCAACAACAGAACGGUGAGUUAACAGAAUGGUGUGGAGGUAACCCCAACAACAGAACAGUGUGGAGGUAACCCUAACAACAGAACGGUGUGGAGGUAACCCUAACAACAGAACGGUGUGGAGGUAACCCCAACAACAGAACGGUGAGUUAACAGAACGGUGUGGAGGUAACCCCAACAACAGAAUGGUGUGGAGGUAAC